UGGUGGUGGUGUGAUAUUCCUCUGAACCCGGCGCUGCGUCUCUGAUUGAUUUCAUGGUUCGUUCGUACAACUGUGAUAUUCUUCUUAGGGUUUGGAGGUGUUAUCACGCGGAAGCUAAUUCUCAUGAGAUCCGAUUUCAUCGUUCCGCCUCCGCUUCUGAUGAAUUUUCACUCCUCCUUCCUAGGAUUCUGAUUGAAUUUUCAAUUAGGGUUUCUAAUUAAUUGCAUCGUUAAUUGCUUUUUUUUUGUCUUACUAAUUGAAUUUUCACUUAGGGUUUCGCUUUUGUUUUGUUGAUUUAAGAUUUUGUGAGACGAACAUUGAUCGUUAGUCAAGUGUUUUCCCCCGGCCAAUUCUUAAUUCAUAUAUGUAAGCAAUUUUGUUGUUGUUGAUGUAUAUAUCUAAACCUAAAACCAUCUUCUCUCUUUGAUGCAGAUCGUCGUGGUUCCGUUGAAUCUUAUCUUCUUCUGCUAUCAUCAUCGAUCUGUUUAGGUUUGCAUAAAUUGGAUGUGUUUGAAAAGCUUGAAUCUAACUAUAAGGCUGAAGAAAAGGUAAUGAAGAAGUUGCAGAAGGAGAAGAAUCUGAUAACGGAGAUUAUGACCAGAUUCUGUGAAACAACUAUCUACAAGAAAACAACUCAUCACCGGGGAAAAGAAGAAGCUCAAUCUUCGACGCAAAGAUUCCAUUGUUUUUUAAUUUUUUAUUUAGGUGCUACUGAAGUGGACCUCUACAAGGCACCAGAAUUGUCUCAAGCCAAAUGCAGUAAUCAGAUUAAUGUUUAA